GAUGAAAACUUGCAUGCCGGAUGGUGUCAGCGGUGGCUUCAGGAGGAUUUGGUUCUGCACGAUUCGCAAAUUCAUUAUGCUACUUACAAGGAUGUUAAAUAUUACAUUCGCAAGCAUGGUGGGGUUGUUAAUACCCUUCGGAUUGACAAGUUGGUUUUCACAUCCCAGAACAUUGGCAGUUGGUGUCGCCAGCUCCGUAAACCCGAGGUGAUUGGUCCAACUGAAAUUAUCCUUCUCAAUCGUGGUAGCCCAUCUGCACCACUUUGUCUUCAGCCUCUCCCCAAGGAAAUUCUUCUUCCAUUCAACGGAAGAGGGCUUAAGAAGCUCCAUCUCUGCUUCUUCACGCUUCCGCAGGGCGGGCUUCACAAAUAUGCGGCUCUCGCUGGUAUUUGUGAGCUUGGUUUGCAUGGGUGUGCAUAUGGCGACGAGGAACUUGCAGAUGGAAUCACCAUGUGGUUGAAUCUUGAGCGACUCAUACUGUCAUAUGCAAGCCAGACUAUGCUUCGUGUUGUGUCACACAGCAUACUUGAGCUUAAGUUGUGCAACAGCUCUAUCCGCAUUCUGGAUUUACGUGGAGCAGUAGCAUUGAUCCGGCUCUCAGAUCUAGAUAUUGACUCCACUGUCCUAAGAAUCGACCACCUAACCAUACGAAGUCUGACCGUUCUUGAUGUUGUGGUAAACUAUACAGCACUUCCAAAACAUUCGCAAGUUUUCAUGCUUCAAGUGUUGCUAAAUUGUUUCCCCUGUGUUCAAGAUCUUACCAUUAAGCGAAAGGACAAUGUGAGUGAGGGCCAAAUGCUGUUGGGGGAUAAAUGUCCGUACAAAAUGUUUGCUGAAUGCUGAUAUGGAGUGCUUGACAAGCCACAUCAAAGUUUUGACAUUUUCAGACUUUCGAGGGGGCAAGCUGGAGCUCGCACUCAUCAAAGCGUUGGGGAGCAGGGCGAAGAAGAUGUCUGUGCUCAAAGUGGUGUGCCACGAUAGUUGCUUAGAGACUACCCGAGCUGAGGCAGCUGUAGUUCUUAUGGAAAUAUUCCGCACGAGUUCGGAUUUGGAUGUUAGAAUUUGUUAGUUCCUUUUUCUUUCAUGUUGAACCAGUUACCUUCAUUAGAAGCAAAGGAUGAUUACUAUCUUUAGUAUUUAUGGUCUUGAGUUCUACGUACUUUCUUUGGAUUUGCACUUACUUAUAUUGGUGAGUUUUGAUAUUUUGAGAGAUUGCUGAUUGCCAAAUAA